rnacentral:ncRNA from 1 species
AGAGGAAGCCGGUGCGAGUCCGGCGCGGUCCCGCCACUGUCACCGGGGAGCGUCCUCCACCGAGGGCCACGGUCCGCCUGCCGGACCGGAAGGCCGGAACGACGCCGAUCCGGGAGCCAGGAGACUC